rnacentral:rRNA from 1 species
UACGUAGGUGGCAAGCGUUGUCCGGAAUUACUGGGUGUAAAGCGCGCGUAGGCGGGAUGGCAAGUCGGUCGUGAAAUCCCUCGGCUCAACUGAGGAUCGUCGAUCGAUACUGCUGUUCUUGAGGAUUGCAGAGGAGACUGGAAUUCCCGGUGUAGCGGUGAAAUGUGUAGAGAUCGGGAGGAACACCGGUGGCGAAGGCGGGUCUCUGGGCAAUUCCUGACGCUGAGGCGCGAAAGCGUGGGGAGCAAACGGG